rnacentral:rRNA from 1 species
UACGAAGGGGGCUAGCGUUGCUCGGAAUCACUGGGCGUAAAGGGGUGCGUAGGCGGGUCUUUAAGUCAGGGGUGAAAUCCUGGAGCUCAACUCCAGAACUGCCUUUGAUACUGAGGAUCUUUGAGUUCGGGGAGAGGUGAGUGGGAAACUGCGAGUGUAGAGGUGAAAUUCGUAGAUAUUCGCAAGAACACCAGUGGCGAAGGCGGCUCACUGGCCCGAUACUGA